AGGGAUUGCAGUCGGACACAUCUAUUUCUUCCUGGAGGAUGUGUUUCCAGACCAGCCUGGGGGAGGGCGCUGGUUAAAGACCCCGGGUAUUCUGAAGGCUCUGUUUGACACCCCCGAGGAAGACGGCAACUAUAACCCCCUCCCCGAGGAGCGGCCGGGGGGCUUUCCCUGGGGGGAGGGGCAGCGCCUGGGGGGCUAGUGGAAAAACUGCAUCCAGCCCCCACAGGCACACAUUGUGUGCUCAUACAGCCUUCACAGAUAUAUUUUGUACCUUCUUUCUCACUCUGGACAGAGAUCUUGAACCCCCUGUGUAUAUAAAGUGUUUUGUAAAGCAAACAAUCCGAUCACUAGCUUUCCACCAAUCCUGAGUCUUUCUGCAGCAUUUGGGUUUCCAUGACAACAUUCAGGAACAGGACUGUCAAAGAAUGAGCUGCCUUUUUGUGUGAAGAUUUUUAUGUAGUAUUUUAUUGAAUAUAAAAGAAUGAAAGAAA